rnacentral:rRNA from 1 species
CGCGAAUGGCUCAUUACAACAGCUAUAAUUUACUUGAUCUUGACUUCCUACUUGGAUAACUGUGGUAAUUCUAGAGCUAAUACAUGCACCAAAGCUCCGACCUUACGGGAAGAGCGCAUUUAUUCGAACAAAACCAAGCGGCUUCGGCCGUCCGCAGUUGACUCAGAAUAACUAAGCUGAUCGCAUGGUCUUGCACCGGCGACGUGUCUUUCAAGUAUCUGCCUUAUCAACUUUCGAUGGUAGUGUAUCUGACUACCAUGGUGGUGACGGGUAACGGAGGAUAAGGGUUCGACUCCGGAGAAGGGGCCUGAGAAAUGGCCACUACGUCUAAGGAUGGCAGCAGGCGCGCAAAUUACCCACUCUCAGAAUGAGGAGGUAGUGACGAGAAAUAACGAGACCGUUCUCUACGAGGCCGGUCAUCGGAAUGGGUACAAUUUAAACCCUUUAACGAGUAUCUAUGAGAGGGCAAGUCUGGUGCCAGCAGCCGCGGUAAUUCCAGCU